GACUCUGAAUUUAUUUCUUUCACUUUUGGGGGUUUUUUUUCUCUUUCCUGCUAGGGAUAUGUGCUGCUUUAGAACUUAAAAUCAGGGUGCUGAGCUGUGCCUGUGGGAAUGCACACUGAGUGGUGAGCUCUGCUGGGUCUGAUGGUACCACAAAACAGACACAUCAAGGACACAAAGUCCUUUCUCUGCUGCCAAGCUGCUGUGUCAGGCUGAAAGCCUCAGCACCUCAGUUUCAGGUGGAAUAUUCAGGUGCCAUUCUGUAUUUCAGUGCAGCUGCUUUCAUUAGUGUUUAGAACAAUCCUGGAAUGCUCCUGGCAGUCGAGUUCCCUGUUCCACUGGUGCAGCUGCUCAGUUACACGCCUGCUGCCCAUGUAAAUUUUCUUCAUGAAUCAAAAAGUAGCAAGAGAUGAAGAACUGUUGGAAGUAUUGAGCUAACCAAGCAUGCUCGAGGGAAUGAGGAGACCAUUAAAAGGUAACAUUGGAAAAGCUUU